rnacentral:rRNA from 1 species
UACAGGGGGGCAAGCGUUGUUCGGAAUUACUGGGCGUAAAGAGCUCGUAGGCGGUCUGUCGCGUCGAUCGUGAAAACUUGGGGCUUAACCCUGAGCUUGCGGUCGAUACGGGCAUGACUGGAGUUCGGCAGGGGAGACUGGAAUUCCUGGUGUAGCGGUGAAAUGCGUUGAUAUCAUCAGGAACACCGGAGGCGAAGGCGGCUUACUGGGGCCUUUCUGACGCUGAGGAACGAAAGCCAGGGGAGCGAACGGGG